GCACUUAGCGCUCUUCUGGUCCUAGGCGCUUUGGGAACCGUGGCUUAGGUGCAGACAUGGCCAAGUCCAAGAACCACACAACACACAACCAGUCCUGAAAAUGGCACAGAAAUGGUAUCAAGAAACCCCAAUCACAAAGAUAUGAAUCUCUUAAGGGGGUAGACCCCAAGUUCCUGAGGGACAUGCGCUUUGCCAAGAAGCACAACAAGAAGGGCCUAAAGAAGAUACAGGCCAACAAUACCAAGGCCAUGAGUGCACGUGCCGAGGCCAUCAAGGCUCUCGUAAAGCCCAAGGAGGUUAAGCCCAAGAUCCCAAAGGGGGGUGUCAGCCGCAAGCUCAAUCGACUUGCCUACAUUGCCCACCCCAAGCUUGGGGAGCGUGCUCGGGCACUCAUUGCCAAAGA